UACGGGGGGGGGCAAGCGUUGUUCGGAAUUGCUGGGCGUAAAGGGCUCGUAGGCGGCCAACUAAGUCGGAUGUGAAAUCCCCAGGCUCAACUUGGGAACUGCAUCCGAUACUGGAUGGCUUGAAUUCGGGAGAGGGAUGCAGAAUUCCAGGUGUAGCGGUGAAAUGCGUAGAUAUCUGGAGGAAUACCGGUGGCGAAGGCGGCAUCCUGGACCGACAUUGACGCUGAGGAGCGAAAGCUAGGGGAGCAAACGGG
rnacentral:rRNA from 1 species